CGGUGACCAGUCCCUCUCGUACCAACCUCCGAGACUGACUGAUGAGAGGAAGAGUCUGCCAGCAAGAUCAUAUUGUCAGCAUUGAUCGCCACUUUAAAUUUCCACAGAGAAAAUCCAAAGGAUGACAGGGAAAGAAGUUCUGUUAGGAAUGAGCACAAAUUCACCUGGACCAGCAGUUUGAUUCGUGUUAUUCUUUGGAAUGGAAGGACGAGGAAGGAACGAAGGGGGAGUCUCUGACAAACAGGACUCCUCUCCAACUUCUCCACGAUGCGCUUAAAGCCUGGAUUCUCAUUCCUGGAAAAAAAAAA